rnacentral:misc_RNA from 1 species
AACGAGGCCGACCUGCGGCUGAGUUACCUGCGGAGGGAUCAUUACAGAGUUCAUGCCCUCACGGGUAGAUCUCCCACCCUUGAAUACUAUACCUUUGUUGCUUUGGCGGGCCGCUUUGGCUACUGGCUCUGGCUAGUAAGUGCCCGCCAAAGAACCCCAAAACUCUGAAUAUUAGUGUCGUCUGAGUACUAUAUAAUAGUUAAAACUUUCAACAAUGGAUCUCAGAUCGGAAGAGCACAC